GACCUUGUAGCUCAGUUGGUUAGAGCGCUUCGUUGACAUCGAAGAGGUCAGAGGUCCGAGUCCUCUCAAGGUCACCA
rnacentral:tRNA from 1 species